rnacentral:rRNA from 1 species
UACGUAGGGUGCAAGCGUUGUCCGGAAUUAUUGGGCGUAAAGAGCUCGUAGGCGGUGUGUCACGUCGGCCGUGAAAACCUGCAGCUUAACUGUGGGCGUGCGGUCGAUACGGGCAUCACUGGAGUUCGGCAGGGGAGACUGGAAUUCCUGGUGUAGCGGUGAAAUGCGCAGAUAUCAGGAGGAACACCGGUGGCGAAGGCGGGUCUCUGGGCCGAUACUGACGCUGAGGGGCGAAAGCGUGGGGAGCAAACAGG